rnacentral:rRNA from 2 species
UACGGAGGGUGCAAGCGUUAUCCGGAUUCACUGGGUUUAAAGGGAGCGUAGGUGGGCAGGUAAGUCAGUGGUGAAAUCUCUGGGCUUAACCCGGAAACUGCCAUUGAUACUAUUUGUCUUGAAUUAUCUGGAGGUAAGCGGAAUAUGUCAUGUAGCGGUGAAAUGCUUAGAUAUGACAUAGAACACCCAUUGCGAAGGCAGCUUACUACGGAUAUAUUGACACUGAGGCUCGAAAGCGUGGGGAUCAAACAGG